CCCCUGUGCAGAGGGCUGUGAGAGUCUUGGUGGGAAGUGUCGAAGCUGGGGGGGCGGCCCUGGGGGCUCGGGUCCUCCCCGUCAGUGCCCCUGCCCCGGGGGCUUCAUAUCCCCCUAGAGAAGUGCUGUGAAAGGAGGGGCUCCUGGCAGGGAAGAUUGGAGCAUCUCCCCACAGCGCUGGCUCCCAGGGGCCCCCAGGGCAGGUCCCUCGGGGCGGCACCUACCUGGACUGCAUUUGGGGCAGCACUCGGUCCCCACUGGGUACUCCUCCUCUUUGCACUGGGGCGUCGCCAGGGUGUAGCGGGGGGACCCCAGAAGGAGGAGAUACAAGGCCUGGAGGGGACAGAUGGGGCGUUGGAGGGGAGCAGCAGCCCAGGCUGCCCCGGAGCCUCGAUAUCAGCCUCUGUGAAAUGGGGCAGCAGCAGCCCCAUAGCUGGAGGUGGCCUGGGAGGGAGGACACAGGUGGGGCCCGACAGGCUCUGGGAAUCAUCCAGGACAGCCCUGGCGUUAGGUGGGGACUGGCCCGUCUCCUGCCUCUGUCCCCAAGUCCACCAGCAUGGUACCCCAAGGACUGGGUCUCUGCUCUCACCAGGGACCACACUCCCUGGGAAGCCCUGAGCCACUCUGGGCUGGACAACUGGCCAUCCUGCCUCUGGCCUGUGCUGGGCCCGCUGAGCCCUGGGGACCCAGCAGGGUCAGAGCAGGACGACCGUCAGGGGCUCACAGGCCAGGCACGGGAGACAGGCUGUUCAGGGCCCGGGCUGGGGUGGGCCAUGAGGGGGCCCAGGGCCCAGGGCUGACUCUGCUAACCCUGAAGUUUCCGCCUGGGCUGGCAGGAAGCCACACGGGCAAGCAGGCUCUCCCCCCCGGCCUGGCCCUGGACUCCACCCUACUCACACAGACACGGACUUUAUCUCCCAGGACAGGGAGGGGCUGAGGGUGGAGAUUAGCCACCUGCUGGGGGCUCCCACCCCAGGGCGGGAACAGCUCAGGCAUCCAAGAACAGCCGGGCCCCGGAGGCACCCUCACCCUGUGCUGGGGGCUCACCUUCGUCCCCUGAGUGGGGUUUCGGGGACGAGGCCCACCAGGAGCUGUUCUAUGGCUUUCCUGUCUGUCUGCUCCCCUACCCCAGGGCCAGGGUGAGUGGGUGACAGAGGGCUGGGUCAGCCUAGGAGAGCCGGGCAGCUGGGGGACAAGGGCAGGACAGGGACAUCGUGGGCAGGGAUGGGGAAGAGGGUACACCCAGGGGCAGGAAUAGGGGCGCUGGGGCGCGGCUGGACAGACAGGCAGGCUCAGGAGACUCACCAGGCUCAGGGCAUCAGCCUUGGGUGCCGGGCUCCAUGGGGGUGGCCCCCAGCCUCGCAGAGGCUCCAUGUCUCUCCUCACGACCCCUCAUUCCCUGGCUGCUGUCCCUAGCCCCCUGCCAGCAGGACGAGCUUUAGCACUUGGGCUUCCUGCUGCCUCGCUGGCUGAAAGAGAAAGAGAAACUGCAGCAGGAGCCAGCGAGGACGGCCUUCGGGGUGAUCUCAGGAAGUAUUCGUCUCCAGUCCCCAAGCAUGUGCCAUUGGGGCCCUAGGCUGCCAGGGGAUCAGGACCCCACAGUGACAGGCAGGGAGGGCCCUGGGAUGCAGUCUGCAGUUGGCAGGACCAGCGGUCCAGAGCAGAGGUCAGGGCAGGGGGAGGGGCGCAGCAUAGGCGGCAGGGGGGAUCUCCUGCUGACCCUAGAGAGCCAGCCUGCAGCUCCUGACAGCAGGAGCCAAGAGGAACCUCCUUGGCUGUGUCUUACCUGUCUCUGUUGAAAAGGGGGGACCCUACGUCUAUGGAAAGGGGGAACCAGCGUCUAUGGAAAGGCGGGAUCCUGCUUCUACGGAAAGGGGGCCCAGCCACUUCAAGGAAACCCCGCCUCCCAGCAGUGCAUUCUGGGCGUGUCCACCCUCUGCCUGGGGCUGGGUCAGGCUGGUUUCCACCUGCACAGCCCUGCGCACGUCUCUGCAGAAGGUGACCCUUCCCCAAUCCCAGGAGGCUGGGGGUCGCUGAGUCCCCAUCAGGGUGAGAAGGGGGACAUUUUGUGAGCACCCACAGGGGCCCCCACUGUGUCCACCCCCACCUGUCCUGGGACGGGGUGGGAGUGGCUAUCUCCUGCUCUCAUUUCACAGGUGGGGACCUGGGGCUCAGAAACGGACAGGGCCUUGCCCAGGGUCUCCCAUGUGCAAACUGUGCUCAGCCUCAAACCCCAACCUUCCUGUGCAGACGGGGUUCUCCCCACUCCACCUUCCCUGGAGCCAUGGCCAUCUCCCGAGCUGGGGGACAGGAGGGCAGGCCUGGGAGAGCAGACCCUCAUACACACACCUGGUGCCUAAGAGUCACACUUGGGACUGGUGAGAGGCACCCACCCAGCCCUGGCAUCCUGGAUGGGGAGCGACUGGGUGAGUCCGGCCCCUGGCCCCCAUGCCCGCUGGCUGUCACAUCACAUUAAAGUCUGAGGCUCAUGUGAUGCACGUGGCAUGCCUCUGGCCCCCUUCAUCUUUGAGCUGGAAAGUCAAUUAAAGGUGGGGGCUUCCAUCUAAUCAGACCCAUCACGACCCUGAUGGGCUUGUCCAUCUCCAUAGGCCCCAGGCAGGUCCCCAUCAGGUGCUAAGGCUGGGCCCUCAAGGACACAGGAACCACCGCCUCCAGUGUACCGAUUGCUGGAUGCCCAGCCCAGGCUAACCUGGAGCCCCUUCUCUGUCCUGACUUUGGCACAAAAUCCUCCUCCAGGGUCACAGCCCCAGACCCCACCCUGCCCCACUGAACCUCAGGGCAUCUGCUGGACAUGAAGGUGUCGGUUUUCCCUGCCCCCUUGUGCCUCUGGUCUUGGGAGGAGGGUUGUGAGAGCCCACCUCACAUGAUGUGGGAGCAGGACCCCUGGAGGCCGGGGACCCCACUGGAAGGUUCACUUUUCCGUGGGCUGCAGGCACCUGGGGCAGCGAGGUUUGCCUGGAUCUCCCCAGGGAGGGGUCCCAUUGGGCAGGACUGGCUGGCAGUCACCAGUGUCUUUGGGGUCACUAUCUAUUUCUAUUUCUAGGGGACCCUGGGAGGAGACCCUGGGCACUGGGGAAGGAACAGGGCAGGAGUGAAGUCCGAGGGCUGGGUGGAGGCUGACCACUGCCCUAUCGGCAAAGCUUCGCAGCGCCCAGAGGCAGCGUCCACCCUGGCCACCAUCACCCGGGACGACCAGCCCAGCCCCACAGACCCUGGUGCUCUGAGGUAGGGUGGGGGUUUGGUGGGACCAGGGGCUUGGGAGCUCCCAUGAGACCCAGCAGCACAGGGUCCCAUCCCCACACCCAGGGGCCUUUUAGAGGGUGCCCCCACCCCGCUCCCCCACGUGCACUCACACCCCCUGCCCCCAGCACUGCCAGGGGGUUUCCAAUGAAGGGAAAGGGGCACCCCCUCUGCACCCUCUGCUUGGUCCCAAGAGCCCUGGGGAGUGCUUUAGAAUGCCCUGGAAACCCCAGCAGCACACGGGUGCCUCAGAGCACACUGCAGGCACCCAGGGCAGGGACAGGGCUCUGGGACCACCUCUGCUCCCUGCCAUGCCCCCAGGGACCUCCCAAGUCCUGGGAAGAUCCUUGGGGUGGGGUUGGCCAGAGAGGGAGGAUGUUCUCCCCACACCUGGUGAGGCCCCCAGGACCCUCGAUCCCGGCUCUCAACCCACCACUCCCUUCAGAUGCCUCCUUUCAUCAGAGAUCCUUUCAUCCACCCCACCCUGGGCAGGUGGGGAAACUGAGGCACAGCAAAGGGCAGGACUUACCCACAGGCAUCAGUGAGUCUCAGCUGGAAUGGGGAGUCCCAUGGCUGGCUCAGCCCCUGUACCCCUGGCCCAUCCCUCCCCACCCAGCCACCUCAAGACUCAAGGCCCUAGAUGCUGAGCCAGCGUCACGCCCCAAGGCAGCAGGGGAGACCCGCCCAGGGAGCCUUCUGUACCAGGUCUCUGCUGAGCCAUGGCCUCUUCAGGAGGCUUUCCUGAUGCCUGAGUUUCCAACCACACCCCCUGCACCCUCACCCAGUGACCCUGGUGUCUUAUUGGUUCCUUGUCUUCCCACCUCCCCCCUGGAAUGCAAAUUCCGUGGCAGGAGUUCUGUGUCCAUUUUAGCAGGAAGACGAAGGGCUGGGCUCCAGUCUCAGCAUCACCAUUCCUGUGCUCACUCCUCACUCGCUGUUCACUCACUCAUUCAGCACCCAGUAGUUCAGGCCAGGCUCAGUUCUGGGCGCCAGACUCAUUGAGGAGGAAAUGAGACAGGAGGAGGGUGCAGACAGGGCUCCUGCCCACGCACCAGGAGUCCCCAUGGCUGGCUGUCGCGUCUGCUCCUCGGCCCCAGGCAUCCAGGAAUCAGGAGCAGGGCAGGACCAGGGUACGCCCCAGGGAGCCCCGCACCUGUCUGAGGCUCCAUGGGGCUCUCGUGCCCCUUACUUAUGGGGGGGGGCAGGUAGAGCCCGCACCCCAGGGCCUCUCCUUCCAGUCAUCCCUGUGAUGUGGGCUGGGAUCCAGGGAAGCCGCCUCUCCUGACUCAGCCAGAGCCUGUGUCCAGGGACCCCAGGGCUCCUGCAGGGUGCCCAACCUCAGGGCCCAGGGGAGGGCCCGGCAGGAGCUUCAGAGGCAUCUGUGCAUGCCUCCCCCCAGUGCAGAUGGGGAAACUGAGGCUCAGCCUCUCCCCAAACCCAACUCUGCCGCAGCAAGAGGAGCCUCCAUCACCUGGCUAUCCCUUGAGACCUGCCCCUGCGCCCACCGUUCCCUCCCAGGGGCUGCCCACCCCACCACAUCGCCGACACCCGGAGCUCCCGGCCAGGACACCUCCCGAUGGGCUGAGGAAUCCCUGAUCACAUUUCCUCCUCUUCUUGAGAGGGAGAUCUCUGGGGUCCCGAGCAUGGGAGAGAUGCUGAGAACCAGGGUGCUUGAGCCCAGGCCUGGAGGGUGGGAGGCAGGGUCGUCCUGAAAGCCCACCUUGAGGCCCCCCCUCCUCUCCUCUGCAUUCUUGGUGGCCUCAGCCCCCUGCUCUGUGGGAGCCCCGGGCUGGGAAGUGGGCUCAGAGGCAAAGCAGCCUGGGCCUCACCCCCUGGGGCUCAUGGUCCAGUGAGGGAGCUGAGUCUAAAAGCCACUGUCAGCGUCAUGUGGUGAGGGCUGGGUAUGGGCAGCAGAUGUGGGCUGGGGCUCUGAAGAUGAACAGGAGUCCUGCUGGGGGACAAGGUGAGAAAGGGCAUUCCCGGAGGAAAGAUGUGGGUUGAACAAUAUGGCCGGGAAGUUCUUGGGGUCCAGCCCUGGUGAGGCAUGGAAGGGGGCCUCGACACAGAGCUGGCCGAGGCUGGCCCCUUGAGGGAGGCUGCAGACCCCGGGUGCGUCCUGUGCACGGGAGACUGUGCAGGUGUCAGGCUGGUGGGGAGGGUGGACGGAGUAGACAGGGGCGUGAUGUCUCCCAGGUGGGAGCCUCUGGGAGGUGAGGAGCAGGGCAGGGAGGGCAGAAGGGCGUGGAGAGAGGUCAACUCCAGGGACGCCCAGAGGCGCAGGGCCUGCAGGAGUCGGUGUCCGACUCUCAGGGUGCGGGUAGAGGUGGACGGAGAGGACGGCAACUCCUCAGCCUCAUGCCUGGGACAGACGGGAGAGAACUGGGGGUUGGGACAGGGGUCAGAGGAGGGGCAGAGUGUGCUUGGGCCACCAGGGACUUCCCAGAGGCCCAGGUGCCUGCUCAAAUCCAGGCUUGUCCUGGGAGCAGAACUGGGGGUGCUGUGGGCGCCCAGACCUGGUUUUGUCUAGCUCCAGACCAGGGUAUCAGUUCUCGUCUCAGACGUCUCCCCAGCGCCCCGUGCCCAGUCCCCCACCAGCCCUCCCAACUCCUCCUCCACAACUCCCCCACCGCCUCUGCUCCCUGGCAAAAUCAGGGCCCUGGGAGGCAGCUGUGUGCCACGCUUCACCUUGCUGCACCCACACCGGGACCCCUUGUGGGCAUGGAGAGGCUGCCUCAAGAGGCUCCUCAGAGGUCUGCUCCCUCCAGGCACAUGCUCUCACCUCGGCACCCCGCCCUCACUCUGGCUCCCCUGCUCUGCCUAGUCCAGACAGCAGCUAGGGACACCCCUAGCUGCCCAUGACACCACGGUCACGGUCGCCCCCUCCCUGCACCCUCUGGGGCCCCUCACCAAAUCCCCCCCCCCGCCCCCCAAGGCCUGCCCAUCAGCCCAGACUUGCCUCUCCAACUCAUGUCUCCCUUUGCUACAGCCACACCAACCCCUUUGCGUCCCUGCUUAUUCCAGCUCCUUCCAUCCCAGAGCCCCACGCAGGCCAUUCCCUCUGCCGGCUCAUCCUGGGAGGUCAUCCUGAUGUCUCUCCUGUCCUCAGAAACAAUCUCAGCUCAUACCUGUGCCGUGCUCCCUGGUGUCUGGCCCUCACCUCACCUACAGGCCCUCCUGCCAUCCUAACCCUCACAGUUACGCUGUGUGAAUAGACGGUCAGGGCCCUAGGGACCACGGCUUUACAGGUCAGGAGACCAGGCGGAGAGCUGGGGCCAGGCCAAGGGAGGCCACCUCUCCAGAAGGAGCAAAGGAGGGUUGGACCAAACAAGUGGCUCCGGCCACUUGGCAAUGAUUCAAUGCUGCCUCCCUGGUUUCAGCUCCAAGAGAGACUUCUGGGAAAUGUUGAAGGUGGAGGGCUCCUCCUGCCCCUGGUUCAACAAGCAAAUGGACAAUCCCAGCCCUCGGAAUGGGACCAGCACCCAGGGGGCCUUUGGGAGCAUCGGGGGCCUCCUGGCUCCACGUUGGGCAGCUGGGCCCGGGGACCAUUGGCCAAGAGCAGGAGAAGGUGAGGAUGGACGGCUGGGAAAGAGAAGAAAGAGGAAAGGGCAGAGCAGCCCAAGAAAGAGGAAGACAAGAUGUGCAGACUCACUGGUGACAGGGAAGAGAAAGUUCCUCAUAGAGGUGUUUACAGGUCAAGACUGGGCCCAGGGGAAGCCAGCAGGACUGAGGAUGGUGAACUCCAUGGAGCACGGAGUGACUAUGCAGUGGGCCAGCCACUCUGGAAGGCAGUUUGGGAGUAAAUGUUAAAUGUCUUAGACCAUUGCACCCUUUGAUCAGGCAAUGUCGUGUAUGAAUUCCACCCUGGAAGUAAGUAUUCUCAUUCCAACGGGAAGAGGUGGACGUACAGGAGAGGACAUCAGCCUUUGAAGGUGCCAGAGAACAUUGGAAAUAACCUAAGUGCCGUCGAAGGGGAACUGUCCCUCUUGCCUGCUGCCGUGAUGGAGUAACACAGCCUGGACUUACCCUCUGCCCCCAAAGCAAGAAACUGAAAACCGUGAAUCAGCUGUGUUCAGAAACUAGGCAAAAGGAACUGGGAUCCCCAGCAGACCAGGGCAGUCCUGCUGAGUUAAGAAGAAAGGGAUCAGGCCUCAGGACGGCUGAAGCUGGUGGACACGCAAGCAGAGCUCCCGAAAGGAGGGAGCUGCACAGACAAAAGCUACAGCCAUCGGCAAGGUCCCCUUAGCAUUGGCUCAAGAACCUGCCGUGUGUGUCACGGAUAAAACUCCACAGUACGGCACAGUGAGCCACUAGGAGCUGUGCACCGAGUGACUCCAGAGCUCACACAGGGUGAGGGGACAUUGGAGUGCUGACCAGCUGGACUUGACUGUCCUCAAUGGUCCCUUUGGCCUGCAGGAGAGACCCCAUAGGCCGCGCCUCCCCAGGGCUGAACCGGCCUGGAGUAAGGCUGCUCUAGCCCUAGUGUAACUAAGCUCAGAGUCCCACCCAAGAUCAAAGCGAAGCCCAAGUCACUGAGCACAGGCCGGACACGCACAGCCCUCUCUCCAGGAGGACUGAAAGUAAAAGAGAAAAUUCCAGAUCAUAAAGAAAGUAAAAACACCAUGCCCAGCAUCCCAGCAAAAAUUACCCACAUGCCAAGAAGCAGGAAAAUGUGACCAGCAAAAACGUGAAUCAGGAGAAAUAGACCCAAAGAUGACCGCAAUGAUGGAAUUACCAGACAACACCCUAAGACAGUCUUUCAAACAUUUUUAAAGGGAAAUGUAAACAUAAAGAGGGAAAUGGAAGAUAUAGAAAGAACCAAAUGGAACUUUAUAAAAUCUCCAGUGAAGAAUGAGCUGGGCAGGUGUGUUAGCCGGCUCGGGUGGCCAUAACGAAUACCGCAGUAUCCUGGGUAAACAGCAGGAAUUUAUCGCCUCGCAGGCUGGAGGCUGGAGUCCACGAGCAAGCUGUGGUGGGGCUGGUCUCCCUGAGACCUCUCGGCUUGCCUUGUAGACGGCCUCCUUCUCACCAUGUCCCCACAUGGUCCUUUCUCUGUGCAUGCGCAUCCCUGGGGUCUCUUUGGGUGUCCAAAUUUCCUAUUCUCCAUAGGCCUGCUCUCAGAUUGGAUUAAAGCCCACCCAGAUGGCCUCAGUUACCCUUAAUUACCACCUUUAAGGCCCUAUCUCCAAAUAUAGCCACAUUCCAAGGUAUUGGGGGUUAGGGUUUGAACAUACGAAUUUGGGGGGACGCAAUUUGGCCCAUAAAAGUAGGGUUAACACAGGCUGGACACUUCAAGAUGAUAUCCAUGAACUUGAAGCUAUAGUAAUAGAAACUAUCCAAAAUGAGGUACAAAGAGAAAAAAAGAAAAGGGAAAAAAAAACAGGGCCUCAGUGAUGCCUGGAAAAUAUCAAGCUGUCUAACAUCAAUAUAAGUGGAGUCUUACAAAACAAGAGAGAGGCAAGAACAGAAAAAUUAAAGAAAAAGUAUAAACCUACAAACAAAAGAAUGCCUACAAACCCCAGGAAGGAUAAACAAGAAAGAACAUAUAACAAGGAAAAUCACAAUCAAAUUCCUGAAAAACAGGGAUAAAGGGAAAAACCCCAAAUCAGUCUCAGCGAACACCGUCACAUCCAGAGAAGCAGAGAUAAGGGGCACGGCUGAAUUCUCACCAGAAACAGUGCAAGUCAGGGACGAUAGAAACAUCUAGAACACGCUGGAGAACAUCUCAACUUAGACUUCCAUACACAGUGAAGGUAUUUGCCCAAAAUGGAAGCACAACAAAGACUGAGGACUUCCAUUUCAUGAUUUCUAUAAAAGCUCCGGUCGUCCAUCACCAGCAGACUUUCAUUACAAGAAAUGUGAAAGGACUUUCUUCAAAGACAAGGAAGUCGGUACCCAAUGAAAACGCAUCUCUACUCAAAGGAAUGGAGAGUGAAAGAAAUGGUAAAUAUGUCAGUAAACAUGAGACAUCUUUUUCUCAUUUUUAAAAUUUCUUUUAAAAAUAAUAGAAAGCUUAAAGAAAAAUAACAAUGUGCUGUCAUGGUCACAGCACGUGGAAGUAAAAUCCAUGACAAUAAGAGCAAGAAGCCUGGGGCAGGGAAACGUGAGUGGACUGUGUAAGGUGCUUUUCAUGGUCUGUCAAGCGGGUGAUAGUGGGAGGUGAGGACAGGUGCAUAUUGUAAGCCCUAGAGCAGCCGCUGAUAAAUAAAAUGAAGAUGUGUAGCAAAUAAGCCCACAGUGCAGAUGAAUGAAAUACCCAAAAAACACUCAAUUCGUCAAGAAGAAGGCAUAAAGGAGGAAACAAGAAACAAAGAACAGCAAAUAAUUAUCAAAAUAUGGACCCAAACCCAACCACACAGGAAACUACAUGGAAUGGAAAUGGUCUCAAUCCUCCAGUUAAAUGCAGACAUUGUCUUACUGCAUGCAAAACCAAAACUGUAGGCUGACGUGCAAAGGAUACUGUACACAGAAAGAGACAGCAGCCAAAAGAAGAGGACAGCGAUUGGAGAUUGCAGGGUUCUAGAGGCCGGGGGCUGUGCAGAAACAGAGCCCCCAAAUCUGCAGAGGCAGCUGAGAGACUCCCACAGCCAACGUCUCAGUCGAUGGUGAAGACGGCAUGCUUUCACCCAAGAACAGGACGAGGCAGGGACGCCCACUCAUCCCCUUCUGCACAACACUGCACUGGAGUCUCAGAAAGGGCAACGCGGCAAGAAAAAGAAAGAGAAGGCGCGGCGAUGGGAGCGGAAGGGAAACAUUGCUUCUUCGCAGACAACGUGACCACAUAUAUAAAAGUUCUACAAUGUCUACAGAAAGGCUAAGUGGCCUACACAGCUUAUUUAGUGACGUCACAGGACACAAGGCCAACAGUUUAGAAAAUACAGAUGGGUUUUUGAAAUUUAAAAGAGCAAGAACACACUCACAUUAAAAACAUGAAGCAUCUGGGACAAAUUCAACAGAAUGUGUGCAGGCCUGUGCAGGCCCUGCCGAGGGAGGGGACAGAGGACGCCGUAAAUGGAAAGGUACGAUGCUCACAAAGUGGAAGACUGGGUUUCGGCAAGAUGUCAGUUCUCCCCCAAGUAACCAGAGAUCAAUGUAGUCCCAAUCAAACUGCAGCAGGCUUGUUUGUGGAAAUUGAUACGCUGAUUUUUUACACUCAUGUGAAAACAGAAAGGAGUUAUCGUGGCCAAAACAAUUUUGAAAAGGAAGAGCAGGGCUGAAGGACGUGAGCUGUAAGCCUCGUGGAUCCAGCCCAGAUGGUGUAGGCAGGAGGAGUACCAACCGGUCGACGAGACGGAAGAGACGGAGUCCACAAACAGACCCGCUCGUGUGCGAUCACCAGAGUGUUGUCGGAGGCGCCACAGUAAUCCCACAGGGGAAAGGUAAUCUUUGUAGGCAACAGUUGCUGGAACAGGGAGAAUCAAGGCGGCAAAAAUGAAGCUCAGCCUUUACCCUCACCACGAGCAAAAAGUAGCCCAAAGGGACCAUAGGCCUAAAUGUAAAAGCUAAAAUUAUUAAACUUCUGGUAGAAAACAUAGGAGAAAAUCUUUGUGACCUUGAAGUGGGCAAAGAUUUCUUAGAGAGGACAUGAAAGACAUAAACCAUCACAGAAAAACAGAUAAAUUGGACUUCAUCCAAAUUAAAGACUUUGCUCUUCAAAGUUUGAUAUUAAGGAAAUGAGAAGGCAAACCACCUGCUGGGGAAAAUAUCCACAACACACAUGUCUUGCCCAAAAGAUAUAUUUUUUAAAAAUUUCUUACAACUCAAUAAGAAGACAAACAACUCAAUAUUCUUUUAAUGGUCAAGAUUUUUGAACAGAUCCUUCCCCAAAGAAGACACACAGACGGCACAUGCAAAGAUGCUCAGCAUCAUUAGUCAACAGGGAAAUGCAAAUUAAAAUGACAAGGAGAUACCACUUCACAGCUAUCAGAGUGGCUAAGGGUAAAGUCUGACCAUAUCAGGUAUUGACGAGGAUAUGGCGUUACUGGAUCUGUUGACACUGCUGGUGGGAAUGGAAAGUGGUACGACCACUUUGGAUGACGGUUUGGCAAACGCUUACAAAGUUAACCACACGCUUUCCAUCUGACCCAGCCAUUCCACUCCUAGGUAAAUAACCUAGACAAAGGAAAAUAUACGUCCACACCAAAAGCUGUUUACAGACUUUCAUAGCAGCUUUACGCACAUUAACCAAGAACCGGCAGCCACCCAGACACCAUGAACAGGUGAAUGGAUACACAUAUGGUGGCAUAGUCAUAAAACGGGAUACAACUCAGUGAUAAGAAAGAGUGAUAUUGAUACACAGCGUCAUGGAGGGACCUCGCGGUCAUUAUGCUGAGUGAAGAGGCCGGACCCCAAGGAGCGACAGAGUGUGACUGCGUUGAUGUGAAAGUCUGGAACAGGCAGGUGCAAGGCAGAGGCAGAGAAAGCAGGUCACACAUGCCUGGACCAGGGGUGGGGACUGCCUGGAAGGGGCUCGUGUGGGUCACAGAGGGCUGCCAUGCCAAUGUCCCCUGGCCUGGGUGGCCUAAACAACAGAAAUUUACUUCUCUCAGUUGGAGGCUGGAAGGCUGAGAUCAAGGUGCAGGCUGGCUGGUCUCCUGAGGCCUCCCUCCUUGGCCCGCAGAUGGCCACCUUCUCCCAGUGUCCUCACGCGGCCUUUUCUCUGUGCACCAGCAUUCCUGAUGUCUCUUUCUCUUCUGAAGUCCUACCGGGUCAGGGCCCCAGGCUUACGACCUCAUUUAACCGUAACGACCUCCUGACAGCCCUGCCUCCAAAUUCGGUCACCCUGGGGGUCAGGUCUUCAAUAUAUGAAUUUGGGGGACACAAUUCAGUGCAAAGAGUCUCCAACAAGAACGCGAGUUCCCAAGGACAGGGAGGUUUCUCCGCCACUCACAGCUACGUCCCCAACACCUGGCACAGAGUGGGCACUCGGAACAGACCCACUGGGCAGAUGCGAGGUAGAGGAAAGCCCUCGACAGCCUAGAGCUGGCCUGGCGCUAUCAGCCGGCCUUGGUGUUCUCCAGGUAAAUUAAUGUCAUGGCACGUCAACAUCGACAAGGAUACACAGACAGGUAUGAACUCAGACAAACAGUCACUGUCACGCCACAAAAACAACCAAAUACCGCCGCCCUGGCAAAUACGGGUGACUGCUGCUCCCUCCCUCACCACCCACACAAUGUCAGCCAUGCCCUUCUGCUUACAUCCUCGACAGGAUGCAUUCAGAUCCCCAUCGUGGAGCACCCGCUCCUCCAGCACUCAAUCCAGCACGACCAAAAUCACCCAGCACCCCCUAGAUGCCACCAUUCCUGCCCAACACGUCUCACGAAGGCCCCCGGUCCCCGCAGGUGUGUCCUCUCACUGUGAUGGGGCAGCGUCCCAACUUCUCGGGGCGCAGGUGCGGCGUGGUGGUGGCUGCAAGGUGCUGGCCGCUGUUGGGGUUCUCCAGGUGAAGCAGCCACAAGACGAACCCAGUGCUCUUUCUCUCGCUAAUGUUGACCCCCGGGAGACAGCUCUGGUAAGGUGAUUUGCUAAAAGAUCUGGGACCCCCACACCACCAACUGCGUCCACACCCACUCCCACCCCAGCCCUGAGGGCAGGGAGGCAGAGAGGCUUGAAAGGGGACAGAGAAGCUCAACCUGUGAUGCGUUAAAAAAAAAAAAAAAAAAAAAGCAUGUCUGCGUGUGUAUGUUUCUCUGUGUCCCGAAAAAUUCCGGGUGCCUGUGCCUCAGGGUGGGUGGGGAGAGCUCUCGCCAACAACAAACUUCCACUUUCUGCUGUGGUCUGUUCCGCACUGCGUGAGUUUUUGUAACAUCACGUGUCACUUUUACAAGAAAAAGGCUGAUCAAGAGCCAUAUUAACAGUCAUUGCUGGUGACGGCCGGGCCACCAGGCCAGCCCCACGUACCCCACCAUUUCCCCAGAAGGGAGCUCGGGUCCCUCGAGGAGUCAGGGGGCAGAAAGUAGGACAGAGGUUCAGGGGCUGGGGGAGCGAGAUGAGGAGUUAGCGCUCAAUGGGGACAGAGUUCCUACUGAGAUGACAUAAAAGUUCUGGAGACGGAUGGUGGUGAUGGUUGCACAUUAACGCGAAUGUGCUUAAGGCCACUGAGUUGUACACUUACAAAUGGUUAAAUGGUAAAUCUUACGUAAUAUAUAUUUCAUCGCAAUUUUUAAAAUACAUCAAAUUUGUUUGUUAAAAGAAAGCAGGAGGGAGCCUCGUGGUGCUGGUUCUGUUUUGACCACAUCAGUGUCAACACCCCCACACACACUGCGCAGUAGUUUUGCAAGACGUUACCAACGGGGGAAACUGGGUGAAAGGUACACGGGAUCUUUCUGUAUGAUUUCUUACAACUCCCUGUGAACUAUCUCAAAAUAAAAAGUGCAACAACAAAAAAGUCAGAUGAGAAGCACUCUGAACGGAUGUUUGCACUUCAGUGGCGUACAAAGUUGUCCAACCAGAGCCCGAGGCCCCCGGGCCUCCGUGCACCCCUCACUGUCAGCGGGCGGCCCAGGCACAGCGGGCCAGCCUCCGCCUCAGCCCAAAAACAGGAAACGCCCCGCCGACAGUGGGCGAGCUGUGGCAGAUGUGCGGUUCCUCCUGGCCUAGCGUGCGCUUCCGCCUGCCUUGAAGAGAUAGUUUCUUUUUUAACAGAGACCGUAAUCAUCUUUUUCCCCGAGUUGUCACCAUGGAGUCGAAAGGAUUGCUCUACUUUGCCUUUCUCUUUGUUCAAACAUGGUCGCUGGCUGUAAUUUUACAAAGGAGACGUGGAACAGACGAGGGUAACGGGGCACAGGGGGCUGUCCCCUCCCACAGAAGAGAGACGUGCUGACAGAUGGGGCAACUAGAACCCUGACGGUGGCAUGGAGGAGCAAUCAUUAACGGGGGGCUCAGGACCCCGUGAGCUAGAGCCGCACCAGGCCCAGACACAGCAGCAGCAUUAAACAGCACAGCACAUCAAUAGCACAGCCUGCUGCCGUCACCGCCCAACGCUGACCCAUCCUCUCGAGUCCCUCUCUGUGCAAGGUCAGCCUUCCUCCUCGCAGACAAUGCUUCCCCAGAUGGUAAGUUCCUCCUGAACCUCACAGCCCAUCCAUUUCUCAGGACCCACCAGAGACCCGCCCAGGCUGGGCAUUUCCCGGUCGUCUGUCCCCACUGUGCCCCGCCCCUGAGGCUGGGGCGGGCUUGAGCCCCAAAGGGACCUCUCCCUUCGCCUCCAACAGGGGGAGACCUCAGAGCGCCUUCCCGUCCUGGGAGCUGCAGAUGCUCGAGCCAGGCUUUCCCCACGGACAGGCUGCAAGACGCCAGGGGGCAGCAAACCCCAGAGCCAGCCUGUGCUCUGGUUUCUCCUGGGCGGUGUCUGUGGCCUCCACACCACAAAGGCAAGGCGCCAGGUGGGGUGGGGGCUUGGGGUCACAUUCCCUUUAAGAUUGUCCAUCCCCACCCCACCCCCACCCCAACAAAAUGCAGGGUGCUCCCUGCCGGGUUCUGAUCCAGUAAGGGACGCUGGGCCGUGCCCAGGAUGAAGUGACUUCUCAGCCCUGCCCCCGCUUUGGGAGAAGCACUUAUCCCGGGGAAUCAAUAGGGGACGAGAUUUGGGGGACCAGGAGGAGAGACGCUGAGGGAGGUGCACUCCCCACUCUGCUCAGUGCACGCUAAGCGGCCACGGUGGGAGCAGGUGCCAGCCCCCACUGCUGAGGGGCACCAGCCCACCCCCGGGCCCCUGCGUGUCCUUGGCACCAUCCCUGAGUCUGCAGGGGCCUCUGUUUGCUCAUCUUCGAAUGGGGACAAUGACGUCCUCGCCUCCAGGAUGUUGGGAAGGUGAUUUCGGAACCCACAAUGUGACAGCUAGCACACUGCCUGGCCCACAGGGGGCUCAAGGUAAUCGGGAGGCUCCCCCCAGGCGGCCCGAGGACAGAAGGAGCUGUCUCUGGCUCAGCCCAUCCCUGAGAGUCUUCCCUGUCACUGGGGGCCAGGGGGGCAGGCUGGGCCUUGACCACGGUUCAGGGAAGAAGCCAGCAGGGCAAGGGUCCAGCCCAGGAUACCCUUGGCACAGUGACCCAUCCCCGGAGGCCCCAGAUCCCUCCCUACACCCUAGGCAGGGGGCCUGAAUCUCAGGGGUGGCAGUCAGACUCGGGGGACGGGGCAGAGACCUGGCAGAGGCUCAGUCCAGCACCUUUAUUCAAGCUCCACGUGGUCCAGCUCUGAGGCACAUGCUGUCCAUACCCACGCACAUCCACCAUUGACCACUGGAUACACCUGCAUCCCACCAGGAUGCCACGGCGGCCCCACACCUCCCCCGGUGUCCAGCACGGGGCCGUGCCCUUCCAAUGCACAGCAUUUCCCCCAGCCCACCCCACCCCUGCUUUAACAUAAAGCAUCCAGUUCUUUCCCAACUUGGAAGAAGCAGAGGUCCAGACGCAGGGCGUGGCUGUGCUGAUCAGGCAGAAGUGGCUGCCCCAGCUCCCUCUGCCAUGGACAAUCUUGACCAUUUACAGCAGCUGUGACAUACAAAACCCUUGCCCUCAGGACCCCUCCUUCAGGAGGAAGACCUGGGGCACUGCUGCCGGCUGAGGGGCCCCACCAGCUGGCAGGCUGGGCUGCUCAGCCUGGGCUCUAGUGCCAGACAGCAAAUAGGAGGGGAAACAAAAUUCCCUACUGCAGGAGGAGCGCUGCGCCCCGCCAGCCCCAGCCCUCUCCUCUCCGUCCAAGGGGUCUGGCAACUGCCACUGGGGCCCUUGUGGCCAGGGGCGCAGGGGGCGCAGGGGGCGCGCUGCUUUCAGGCCGCGGCAGGGAUCUCUUCUGCAUGUCGCUGUUCAGCUCAGCCAGGGUGUGCAUCCGCACGUGGUGCAGGGAGAGGACGGGAAGGCUUCUCGGAGGCAGCGCGCCACGGCUUCCCUGGACUCAUCCGCGGUUUGCCGAGCCGCCGGGGGCUGCGGAGAGUGAGCCGAGCGGGUGAGCAGGCUGCGGAAGCGGGCACCCCUCAGGGCGCCCGCCCUGCCCUGCCUCAGGUGACACCCCCACCACCACUCCCUGCCAUUCCCCCCACCUCAGCCACCCCCACCGAGCCACAGCAGGCUCGGUGCUCACCGGGGAUGUUGCCACCUCCGUCUCCACGAUGUCACUUCCCCAGCUCGGAGCUGGGCGGGCGCCCCGAACUCCACAAACAGGGGGAAGAGCAGAGACCUGGUGAGGGGCGGCCGCCGGACCCUGCCAAGACCCGCGGGUGCGCCCUCGCGCUGCCGCCGCCCGGGAGCCGGACUGCCCUUUACUUCGAGAGUCGGCAGGGGGCUGCGCCUGGAGCCAGGCCCGCGGGGGCCAGAGCGCACGGCACGGACGGUGGCCGAAACGCCGAGGCGAGCGGCGGCGGUGCCUUUAUGCGGCGCGGGCGGUGGGGCCGUGGGCACGAGCGCUUUCCCACGCUCGCCAACCAAUCGGCAGCCAGGACCGGCCGAAGUGCAGGAGCCCCGGCACAGGACAAGCGUCCCCAGUGGCCACCGUCUUGUCACUUUGGAUCUCCAGAGCCAUGCCUGGUCCCCUUUCUGGGCCUCACCAUUUCUUCAUACCUGACUAGUCUUCCCGCCUGACCAUGAGCUUGCCCAGCCAAAGCACCUGCCAGGCCUGGCUAUACUUACUGGGUGACAAAAGUGGCUGCAGUGGCAGCCCAGGAUGUGGAAGCAACAUGGAGACACAUCGGGGAAGGGUGCUGACCACCAGGGUCGCAUAGAGGGGUCAGUGCCCCUUGACUGGGCCAGGGCCGCUGCCCCUGGGAAAGCUCACUCUCCUCCUCCCUUUCUGAAAGGCCAGGCUCCAGCUGCCACCUCCUCCUGGAAGCGCCCCGCCCCCGGCCUCCUCUCCACUCCCCCAGGCUGGUCCUUGUAUUUAUUAUAAGGUCAUCCUCAGAAGUGACCUGGGCAGUUAAUUCCUGGGGGCAGAGAUCCCACAGCCCCCCACCCUGGCUUCCCCGGGACCUGGUAUUUUUAGAGCCAACCUAAGAAGGCUCUCUCACGAGCCCAGGGAGGCAGUGCUGUCCGUCGUCUCAGACAAGGAAGCUGAGGUCCGGAGAGAAGGCCUUGCCCAGCCCUCCGGCCCCCAUGUCCCCUCCUGUCGCCCACACUGUGUGGGAGGAUGGGGUGGGGGCAGGCGAGGGGACGGAGGUAAAUCGAGGGGAGAGCACAGCACGGGCCAGGCUUGGAGCAGGAAAUGUGGCAGCGGGUGUGGGGCGAGGGAGAGGUGGGCAGGGCCACGGUGGUGGCCGUGCCCAGCGCAGCAGCAGUGUGAAGGGUCCCCAGGGAGGCCCUUCACCUGGGCGCCCAGGAUGAGUGAUGGCUCAGGAACCAUGCCAGCCUAGGGCAAAACGGGGGGAGCCAGCAGGUGGCUGGCCUGGAUGGCAGCACAGGACUGCUCCCAAGUCCCAGCCCUGAGGACCUCCCAGGCCCCUUGAUGGUCAGCAGGCAGACACCACCCCUGCGGACUCAGGCCCUGCUCGGGGGUGGCCAGGUAGGCCGUGGCUGUGCCUCUGCCCGCCCCGCCCGCCUCCAGGCCCUGAAUGGCUGGGAGCCUUUUGUGGCAGAGCAGCUGGCGGCGGCUCUUUAUGUGGGGCUGUGGGAAAGUCCGCGGGCCAGCCUCUCACAGCCUCUCACAAGCCGGAUUAUCUCGGGGCCUGCAGGACACCCUCUCAAGGACAGCCCCCCAGCAGGGGUGGGGGCAGGGGCGCCUCCACAGAGGUCCUGUCUGCCAGCCCUGGCCCCAGAAGUCCCUUAGUCCCAGGGUCCCUGAGUGGAGAGACCCUCAGACAUCCUGCUCCCUGCCCCCAUCAGUCCAGCUGCCAGACUCAAAGCUGCCCACCACACCUCAGGCAGGACUUUCAGGGGGCCCCGCCCACCCCGUCCCUCUGGGGUUCUCCCUUCUGACUGUCCAGGCCUCUGGCCCUCUAGGGGGCGGGCAGUGGAAGGGUUUGCUUGGGGCAGAAACCACCUACCCCGCCACCCUCGUGUGGCUGCGCCCAAAGCUGGGUCAGCUCAAGGCAGGCCCAGGGCUGAGGCCAGACUUGGGGGUGCUCAGGGGGCCUGGCUGGGGAGGGCGGGGCAGGGAACUGCACACAUAUGCAGCGCCUACUGCGUACAAGCUGAGCAGCACGUAGGUCUUCUCCCUGGACCUGCUCACAAUCCCGAGAAGGAGGCAGGACCGCAUCUAUCCCACUGAGCAGGGACAGACCUAGGCCCAGAGACCUGCCUGAGGUCACACCAUCCCAGGGCUCUUUGGCCCCAGAACCCCAACCUUUCCCUGUUCCAUUGGCCAGCUCCCAGGUGGCCCAGAACGUGGGCAGAGAUCACCCCCCAGGAAGCAGAGCGAAGUGGGGUAGACGGAGGCAAAGGCAGGCAGAGCCGGGGCCGGGGCCUCCAAAUGGUCGUGGUGUCAAUCCAGCAGCUGUGUGCAGAGGCCACGUGGAGGCUCGGCCUUGCUUCAUGCCCCGCGUCUCAGCACAGGCCUGGGGCGGACUGUUACUAGCCCGGUUUUACAGAUGAGGAAACUGAGGCCCAGAGAGCCCAGGUACUAAGUGGCGGCAUCUGGAUUCGAACUCUGAGCCCACAGCCCCACCCACCAGGCUAUCCUGCCUCCAGAGGGUCUCUGGCGGGAACAGCCAGGAGGGAGUAGCACUCCAAAGGAUUGGGGGCGGGAGCAGGCGCCCCCUAAGUCUCCUUGUCACGCCUAGUGCCCGUGCCAGGGCCAGCGCACGCAGGGGACACCCGGGGCUGUGGGAACGGGGAGGAGCUGGCAGGCCAGAUGUGCGGCCAUCCAGCACGUUGCUCAGGAGCUGCUGCCCCCUCCCGGGCCUUCAAAGGCAGCCUGGGGAGCCCCGCCCGCCGGGACGCCUGCUCCGCAGAUGGCCUCUGGGCCGCAGCUCCGCACACAAAGCGGGCCGUGCGAACGAGUUUGUCGCAGGGCACACGCCUUUUGUGCAGGAUGAGUGUCCGUGGCGGGGGCGGGUAUGGGAAGCCACCCAGAGUGGCCUUCCGCCCAGACUCCCCUCCGGCUGGAGGCGGGCAGGGCUACAGGGCAGCCGCCUGGAAAGAGCUACACAGCCUCUGUGCCCACAACCUGGGCCUUCCCACAUGGCAUCAGACUGACGGGGGCAGGGGCCGGGAGCCCACUGAGGCUCCCCCCUCCCCCAUUCCACACACAGAGAAGCAGGGGCCCGAGGGGGGCUGACAGGAGCUGUCCUCAUUCUCCCCUGAGAGUGGGCUCCAGGGGUGGUGGGAUGGGGCCCAGAGCCCAGCAGGCAAGUGGUCACCUGCUAGAUGCCCUUGGUUGAGGCCAGGAACCAUCUCUGUCCUGGGGAGUGGGGGGCAGGAGACUGCAGAUGAGGUCACUGUCAGACUCGGAGGACAGGCAGGGUAGGCGGGCCGGGUUCCUAAGCCCUGGCCUCUGCCCAGGGCCCCCCACCUUCCUCCCUGCACCCCAAGGCCAGGCUCUGGGCAGGCUACCUGGUUCACAGCAGCCACUUCCAGUGGGUAAUGACUGCCUGGCUGGGGGUGGGAGGCCUUGGUCUUGCCUCCUCCCCUAAGCCUGUAGCCAGCCGGGGUCCCAGGCUUGGCCUCCCUUGCCUUCAUCUGUGAACUGGGGUGUCGUGUCCCCUGCAGCAAGCGGGUCUGAGGAGAUGUGAGCCUAGUAGCUGUGGGGAGUGUCAGGCGUGCCCUGGGCUGUGGGCAAAGGGGUUCCCUGCUGGCCAGUGCUGAGCUUCACUGAGGGGUCCCCACACUGGGCUGGAAGCCUCGUGCCCCUGACAGCUGGCCUUGACUGCCAGUUAUAAUGGGAGGAGGGGUCCCCAGGAGGUGGGAGCCUCAGCGGGUACCCAAAGGGAGUGUUGAUGAAGCUUGUUAUUUGGAGUCAGGACAGGGGUCCCGUAAGGGGUCAGGCAGGAGCUGCUGUGCACAGGGGGUGGGGUCCAAGGAUCAGGGAGAAGUCACCAUGAAGGGCAGGGAGCCUGAGUCCUACAUCUGUGACUCUUGGGCCCCCACAGUGCCUGGGAGGCAGAGGGUCCCAGCCGGGAUGGUGCCUGCAGGGCCGGCCUUCUUCACUCCCUUCAGCCAUCAUGGGGGCAGGGGGAGCCCCACGAGGCCAGGAUGCGAGGGGGGCUCAAACACUCCGUGGCAGUCCAGUGAGGCAGAGAGAAGGGACUUCCAAACCCAGCACCCAGAGCUGCCCAGGUCCCUCUGCGCCCCCAGUGGGUGGGCCCCCACCCCCACGGGCCCUGUGUCCUGUCUGCUCCCACAUUUGUGUGCAGAUUAGUUGCCAUCCCCAAAGCCCUCAGCCUCUGAGCUGCUGCUCUCCUGUGUGUCCCACCCAGAGGAAAGCGGGGCCCCCACCCCUGCAUUUCAUCUGAGAGCCCCCAGUGACCUGAGCAGGCGACGGGGGAGCUCCUUAAAGAUCAGCCAGGCCCACCCCUCAACAAUCAGGCGGCCCAGUGUUUCGUCGGUUCGAAUCCUGGGCGCGGACAUGGCACUGCUCAUCAAACCACGCUGAGGCAGCGUCCCACAUGCCACAACUAGAAGGACCCACAACGAAGAAUAUACAACUAUGUACCGGAGAGCUUUGGGGAGAAAAAGGAAAAAAUAAAAUCUUUAAAAAAACAAGCAAACAAACAAACCAAAAAAACCAUUCUUGGGAAGGCACAAGGUGGAGGGGCUGAGCUCGCCCCUGUUCUAAGCACCUGACAUCAACAUGUUUGAUCCCCUAAAAGCCAGCAGGUGGGCACUACCGUCAUCCCCGUUUUACAGAUAAGGAAACUGAGGCAUGGAUAGAGUUAAGUGCCCUGUCCUGGGUCACACAGUGGGGAGACACCCUCGGGGGGUCUGCUGGGAGUCCUCCCGCCCCCCACGCACAGCCAGGCCCUCGGCGUUCGCAGGGAUGGCGGCAGGGAUGGCGGAUGUGGCCAGGCGCGGGCUGUGGGUUCGUGCUGGCCGGCGGUUCCCACGCUGCGGCGGCGGCCAUGGAAGCGUGCCUGGGCCUGGGGCAUUAGUGCCGGGUCUGCCUCUGAAUGAAUGAGGGCGGCCGCGGGGGGCGAGGGGGGGCAACUCCCAAAAGACCAUCUGGCUCUGCGUCAUAAUAGAGCAAUAAAGGGCUUGUCUGCCUUUCAGAGAUUGGGAACGGCCGCUCUCUGACACCACGGGGUUUAACCAGCUUGGGACAGCGACCCGGCCCUGCCCCCGGCCCCUCCUCCAGGGCCGCGCUUCCCCACCGCCCACCUCUGCCUGCCCCGGUGGCCACCGCCCUAGCCCUGGCUCUACACUGGGGGAACUGAGGCCCAGGAGGCUGGGGCUGGUCGAACCUGGGGUCUUUGCCAGGGCCACUCCGGGUCUGGAAUGCAGCUCAUUUGGGAACGUGGGCCUGCUUUGGUCCGCAACAUCUGGGGUCCCCAAGUCUGGCUCGGGGAACUUGGGGGCUGCAGUCUAUGGGCGACACCCUCGUGGAGGGCAGGAGACCCCAGAUUGAUGGAUACCCCGCCCACCCCCACCAUCAGGUCCCAGGGUGGAGCCUGGCCUUGGUCAGAUGAGAGAAGGCGGGGCCGAGGCCAGAAUCACCACCCCCUCCAGGUGGGGAUGCCAUCUUGCCCCAGGUCUCCUGUGAGUAAGAGGUGAGGCUGGAAGUCAACGCUGGGCGGCCGUCCAAGGGCAGCUUCUGAGGAAGGGUCCGAGUCCCCCGGAAUCAUGGAAUCUGACCGAGUCAGCAGGUUUGCGACCUGCCCCUUAGUGGCCUAGACCCCAGCCCAGCGGGCCUCUGAAAUGCACAUCUGUGGCCCCAGCCCAGGCCUGCCCCACGGGCACUCACAUACAGCCUUUCCUGAGCAUGCUUCCCAGCUCAGAGCCCCCACGGCUCCCCGUUGCAGAAGGAGAAGUUGGUGCAUGGACAGGGGUGCAUGACGGCCCUGUCCCCUAACUUGGUGGCCCUGACUCAGUGUACUGCCCAUAUUUUGGAUGAGAAUUUCAGGCAGCCCCGGGCGUCAGCCCCAGCAAUGGGGGCUCCUGGGUGGGGGCCAAGGGGCCCAAGUAGGGUGAACACUAUGCUUUUCUUAGUAACUCUCCAGUCCCCCUUUGGCCACCCUUAGUCACCUCCAGCAACCUGUGGCCAGUCUCUCCAUCGGGUGGUCUUGGCAGAAAAAGCCCAUCCUAUACAGGUAAACUGAGGCACAGAAAGGACCGGCAUACCUUCGACAGAAAGCCAAGGGCAGAGCCUGGCCCCCCCCAUUGCCUGCCCUCUGGGCCUCCCCAUGAUGAACACACUCAGGGAGGAACCUACAAGGGCCGAGCUGCUCCCCAGCCCUGCUCCCCAGCCCUGCACCCAGCCUUGCUCCCUAGCCUUGUUCCCCAGCCCUGCUCCCAGCCCUGCUCCCUGCUCUGGGCCCCCGCCCUGCGCCCAACCCUGCUCCCCAGCCCUGCUCCCCAGCCCUGCUCCCCAGCUCUGCACUCAGCCUUGCUCCCCAGCCCUGCACCCCAGUGCUGCUCCCCGGCCCUGCUCCCCUGCUCUGCACUCAGCCUUGUUCCCCAGGCCUGCAC
rnacentral:lncRNA from 1 species